rnacentral:rRNA from 1 species
AGAGUUUGAUCCUGGCUCAGGACGAACGCUGGCGGUGUGCUUCACACAUGCAAGUCGAGCGAAUGAAGUAGGUAGCUUGCUACUUAUGGAUUUAGCGGCGGACGGGUGAGUAAUAUAUAGGAAUCUGCCUUAGAGCGGGGAACAACAGACCGAAAGGUUUGCUAAUGCCCCAUAGGUAUGCAGUCUUCGGAUUGUAUAUUAAAGGAGUAAUCCACUCUAAGAUGAGCCUGUAUCCGAUUAGCUAGUUGGCGGGGUAAAGGCCCACCAAGGCUACGAUCGAUAGUUGGUCUGAGAGGAUGAUCAGCCACAAUGGGACUGAGACACGGCCCAUACUCCUACGGGAGGCAGCAGUGGGGAAUUUUACACAAUGGGGGAAACCCUGAUGUAGCGACACCGCGUGAACGAAGAAGCCUUUUGGGGUGUAAAGUUCUGUCGGCUGGAACGAAAAAAAUGACGGUACCAGCAAAGGAAGCAUCGGCUAACUACGUGCCAGCAGCCGCGGUAAGACGUAGGAUGCAAGCGUUGUCCGGAUUUAUUGGGCGUAAAGAGUUCGUAGGCGGUUAUUUAAGUCUGAUGUUAAAUACUGUGGCCCAACCACAGAACUGCAUUGGAUACUGGAUGACUUGAGUGCGGUAGAGGCAAGUGGAAUUCCCAGUGUAGCGGUGAAAUGCGUAGA